GCGUAGCUCAGUUGGAAGAGCAUUGGGCUAGUAUUCCAAAGGUCGUAGGUUCGAAUCCCACCGU